GAGACGGAGACCUGCGGAGGGCGAGGGCUGGUUGGAGGUCGCUGUCCUUUCUGGGAACCAAGCAGGGGUCGCAGGAGGGCGGGGAUGGGUCAGCGGGGAUCUCUGAGUGGGGUUCGGCUGAGAGAGGCCACAGUUUCAUCUUUGGGAAGCUACCCUGGGCCGGCCACGCGCCGUGAGCCGGACUGGCGACGCCCCCCUGCCUCCACCGUGCUCCUUCACCCGAGAAAUUCAGCUCAGCCCCAGCCUCUCGGCAACCUCCCUUUGGCUCCGCCUUUUAAAGGACCUUUACGGUAAAUAACCCCGACGCUUAGGAGAGCUUCCUCUUCUGGGCCCUCAAACUUACCCAGGCCUCUUCUAUGGACAUGCAAGAGGUCUUAGCGACGUGUUCACACGAUCACAGUUUAAAAAAUAUAUAUAAGUAGCAAAACUAAGGUAUUUUAAACCAAAUCUGUUCUUAACAGAUUUAAAGAUUUUAACUCUUAACAGGUUUAAAGAGACCACUGUCUUUUUCCACUGUGACUUUGCCUAUCUGGAGGCAUUGGAGUGGCUGUGAGCAUUUUUAGGCAUUUUGGAGUAGGGAAUACACUGAGUUUGAGUUUAUGUGGCUCGUGUGUAUACUUACGUUUUUGCUAGCCUUCCAGGAAUACCCCUAGUCCCCACUGUGCUGAAUUACAAGCACAGUGACCUGAGUGUGUCAGAAGUCUUUUGGUCAUAGAUGUCCAGCAUCAAAAAAAUGGGGAGAUAUAUUUGUCACAGUACAAGGUAAUGUGAAGUUUCUUGAUCGCUUAUGGCUCAUAACAAAAGGCUUGGUAGUUUCCUAAGUUUGACAGUCAUCCUAAAAUAAGGAGUUGGACAACUGGAUCUUUUCUAAGCUAGCAGCGAUAACAAAUUUUGAUCCACCAUUAGAGAGAGGAAUGACUCAAUUAUUUUCCUUUUCUCUCCAUAGAAUGACAAAAAUGUUGUUAAAGAGGCCAUGAAAGACUACACAGCCAAAAAAUGUAGUGAGAAAGUGCUUAGCGAUAUGCCAGGCAGUUAAUUUAACAAAUAGUGUUUUUUCAAUUUUUUGUGUGUGAUGUUUUUGGUAUGAGCUUUUUCAAUUUUGUAGAGUGAUGUAAUUUCUUUUCUCAUUUUAAAUAUUUAUAUUUGUACCUACUUUUGUAUUUUAAAUUUUCUAUUCUUUUUCUUAACGAAUACCAUGAGAUUAUAUAAGCUCAGGCCCCCAAAUCUACAUCUGCCCUUGCAUGGUUGUUAUCCCCUCCUAACCACUCUGCUCAGGGCAGGGCAUGUGUUUAUUCUCCUAAUUUUUGAGAUGAGGAGAUGGAAGCCCAGAGAGGUCAAGUCUCUUGCCCAAGGCUUUGCUACUGAGACCAGCAGAACUAGAACUAGAACCCAGCUCUUUUGGUUCAGUUCAGACGUCUGGUCACACCAGAGAAAUGUCCUAAUCUAAAACAUUUCACCAUCUUCAGGGAGUGGAGUUGAAGUGUGUCUACUUGGCCUGCCUUUGGGUUCUGGAUUGUACCUAGCGCAAUGAAGCUAAAAGGGAACGAAUUGUGUUUCUAAAGUGCCUCCCAAAUCUCAGAGGAUGGCAGCCCGCUCUGUGUUCUCCCACCCACCUCUCCCCCAGCAAUGAAAGAAGGCUAGCAUCUGGUAGGAGACAACCGCUGAUGAACUUCAGCCAUGAGACCUCUCUCUGUAUCAGGGUGGGAAGUAUGGAAUCCUUGAACAGAAACAGAAUCCGCUGGUGAACCGGCUGUGCGUGAAUAUGCAUGGGAACAUGUCUUUGUUAUUUCUCAAGCCAAGUGUAUUUUUGGUCUGUUUCCCUGGAGACUUAUAGGGAAUAGGGAGAGGCCUUACCAAGUGUAGUAUAAUUUUGCCAGCUCUACUUCCUUUCCAAUUCCCCAAAUUAGUCACCCCAUCUCUCCACUUGGACUGAUUUUUCCAAGGUCACUAACAACUUCUUUUUGUUAAAUCGAACAUUUCAGUCUUUAUCUUUAAUCAGCUCUCCCUGCUGCGGGUGUUCUGCACCCAGGCUGGAGUGCAGUGGCACGAUCUCAGUUCACUGCAACCUCUGCCUCCCAGGCUCAAGCGAUCCUUCUGCCUCAGCCUUCCUAGUAGCUGGAACCGCAGGCUCGUGCCACCAUGUCCGGCUAAUUUUUUGUAUUUUUUGUAGAGACAGGGGUUUCGCUAUGUUGCCCUGGCUGGUCUUGAACUCCUGAGCUCAAGUGAUCCUCCCACCUCAGCCUCCCAAAGUACUGGUAUUACAAGUAAGCCACUGCACCUGGCCUACCAGUGGUCUUUUCAAAUGUAAAUCUGAUCCACCUCCACUUAAAAAUUCAUCAUUGCUGCUCAUUGCUUUUAGGAUAAAGACUCAGUUGAACCCAGUCAUCUCCAGUGUAGUCCCAGUCACUCAUAUUGAUCUUUCAUUUCUCCCAUGGGCCAUCCACCUCCCUGACACAAGGCUUUUGCACAUGUUCCUUUUAUUUAUACCUGCUAUUUCCAGACAUUGUUUUGGUGCUGGGGAUAUGACAGUGAACAAAGCAGGCAAACAUUCCUGCCAUUCUAGAGCUCACUUUCUCGUGGUUGCUUUUUGGUUGGAAUGUUCUUGACCUUUUUAUUUUGUUUUGUUUUGUUUUUGUGUUUUUGUGUUUGUUUUUUCAUAGGGAGUUUAGGAUUUAUUUAUUUAUUUUAGAAUAACAGCUUUAUUGAGAUAUAAUGCACACACAUUAAAACUCAUAAAAUUCACCCAUUUAAAAUGUGCAGUUCAAUUUAGGAUAUUCAGAGUUGUAGGCCAGGUGUGGUGGCUCACACCUGUAAUCCUGGCACUUUGGGAGGCCGAGGUGGGUGGAUCACUUGAGGUCAGGAGUUCGAAACCAGCCUAGCCAACAUGGUGAAACCCCGUCUCUACUAAAAAUACAAAAAAAUUAGCCAGGUAUGGUGGCGGGUGCCUGUAAUCCCAGCUACUUGGGAGGUUAAGGCAGGAGAAUUGCUUGAACCCGGGAGGCGAAGGUUGCAGUGAGCCGAGAUCGCGCCACUGUACUCUAGCCUGGAUGACAGAGUGAGACUUGGUCUCAAAAAAAAAAAAAAAAAAAGAAUAUUCAGAGUCAUGAAUAUUGAUUCUACCAUCACCACAAUCAAUUUUGAAAUUGUUUUAUCACCCCAGAAAGAAACCUUAAACCCAUUAGUAGUCACUGCCCCCAACUCCUCAGCCUAGACAGCCAGUCUACUUUCUAUCUCUAUGGAUUUGCCAGUUUUGUACAUUUCAUAUAAAUAGAAUCAUGUGGUGUUUCGUGACUGGCUUCUUUCACUUGGCAUAAUGUUUUCAAGCUUCGUCCACGCUGCCAUGCCGUAGCAUGUAUCAGUACUUCAAUUUUAUUGCCAGGUAAUAUUCCAUUGUGAUAGAUCACAUUUUGUUUAUCUGUUCAUUCGUGGAAGGACAUUUGGGUUAUUUCCACUCUUUGGCUAUUAUGAAUAAUGAUGCUAUGAACAUUCAUGUACAAUUUUUUGUAUGAACAUACGUCUUCAUUUUCUCGGGUAUAAACCUAGGAGUGGAAUUGCUGGAUCCUAUGGUAGCUUUAUGUUCAACUUUUUGAGAAACUGCCAGAUUUUUACAAAGUGGCCGUACCAUUUUACCUUCCUACCAAUAGUAUAUGAGAAUUCCAGUUUCUCUACAUCCUUGCUAUUAUAGGUUGAAUUGUGGCUCCCCAAAAUUCAUGUGUCGAAGUCCUAAUCCCCAGUACCUCAUAAUGUGAAAUUAUUUGGAGUCAUUUGGAGUCAUUAUAUUAAUAGAGUCAUUAUAGAUGCAAUUAGUGAGGCUGAGAUGAGGUCUUAUUGGAGUAGGUUGGGCCCCUUAUCCAAUAUUACUGGUGUCUUUUAUAAAAAUGGGAAAUGUGGACACAGACACGCACACAGGGAGAAUGGCACGUGAAGACUGGAAUUAUACUGCCAUAGCCAAGGACCUACCAGAAGCUAGGAGAGAAACCUGGAACAAAUCCUUCUUUGGGGCCUUCAGAGGGAGCAUGGCCCUCUGAUAACUUGAUCUUGGACUUCUUGCCUCCAGAACAUGAGACAACAAAUUUCUGUUGUUUAAGUCACUCAGUUUGUGGUACUUUGUUAUGGCAGCUUUAGCAAACUGAUACACUCUCUGACACUUGUUAUUUUCCAUUUUUGUAGUUAUAACCAUCCCACUGGGUGUGAAGUGGUAUCUCAUUUGAUUUUGACUGGCACUUCCCUAUGCAAAUGAUGUUAAGCAUGCUUUCAUGUGCUUAUUAACCAUUUGUGUAUCUUCUGAUAAAUGUCUAUUCAAAUCCUUUGCUUAUUUAAAAAAAUUGGGUUGUCUUUUUACUAUUGAAUUUUAGGAGUUCUUGAUGUAGUCUAGAUAGAAGUCCCUUAUUAGAUAUAUGUUUUGCAAACAUUUUCUCCUAUGCUCAGGUAUCUUUUCACUUUCUUUUUUUGUUUUAGAGACAGGGUCUUCCUCUGUCACCCAGGGUGGAGUGCAGUGGUACUAUCAUGGCUCACUGAGCUCACUGAGGUUGCAAACUCCUGGGCUCAGGAAUCCUCCUACCUCAGCCUCCUGAGUAGCUAGGACUACAGGGGUGUGCCACCAGGCCUGGCUAAUUUUUUUUUUUUAAGAGAUGGAGUCUCACUAUGUUGCCCAGCCUGGUCUUGAACUCCUGGCUUCAAGCAAUCCUCCCACCUCAGCCUCCCAAAUUAUUGGGAUUAUAGGCUUGAACCAAUGAGCCCAGCCCUGUUUUCACUUUCUUGAUGGCGUCCUUUGAAGCAUAAAAGUUUUUAAUUUUGAUGAAGUCCAAUUUAUCUAUUUUAUAACUUUAUUGCUUGUUUUGCUGUUGUAGCUAGUCCCCUUCUGUCUUGCUCUAGCUCAAAUGCCACUUCCUCGGGGAAGAUUUCAUUUCUUUAAUAUAUGCAAACUCUGUUUGCAAUUAUAAAUUUUUUUGAGUGAGAUUUGUUUAGUUGUCCUCUCCUCUGGACUGUAAAUUCCAAGAGAGUAGGGUCCGAGUCAGGUGUCUGUCUUCCCAUUCUGUCCCUAUCUCCCAGCACAGUGACGGCUUGGUAGCAGAGCAGGUGCUCAGAAUUGCUGAAUGAAUAAAUGAAUAAAUGCUGAGUUGACUCUGUGGACCAUUUCCUCCAUGAAAUGCUUUUUUUUUUUUUUUUUUUUUUUUUUGAGACAGAGUCUUGCUCUGCUGCCCAGGCUGGAGUGCAGUGACAUGAUCUUGGCUCACUGCAACCUCUGCCUCCUGUGUUCAAGUGAUUCUCCUGCCCUAGCCUCCCGAGUAGCUGUGAUUACAGGCACCCAACACCACGCCUGCCUAAUCUUUCAUAUUUUUAGUAGAGAUGGGGUUUCACCAUGUUGGCCAGGAUGGUCUUGAACUCCUGACCUCAGGUGAUCUGCCCGCCUUGGCCUCCCAAAGUGCUGGGAUUACAGGUGUGAGCCACCGUGCCUGGCCAAAACGCUCUUUAUUUGGCCUUGAGAAUACCCACGUCCUGCUUUUCCUCCUACUUCUUCAGCUGCUCCUCAGUCUGUCUGCUGGUUCCCUUUCAUUUAUUUAUCCAGCAGGUUGAGACAGAAGGUUAAGUAGGAUUGGGAUUGGGCACAGGCCCUCCUCUCCUUUUACCCUUCACACUCUUUGCUUCCACUACCAGGGCUUUAAUGACCAUUUUUAGACUAAUGACUCUCAAAUGUGUUUCCUACCUAGAUGGCUUUCCUAAGCUGCAUAUCCAACUACCUACUGGAUGCCUCUAGUAGAAUGUCAUAUAGAUUCCUAAAAUGCAACGUGGUCACAGCCUUUAUCUUUCCUUACCCCCGAUCCCAAUCCUGCUUAACCUUCUAUCUCAACCUGUUGCCCUAAACCCAAAAUCCAGGCAUUGUCUGUCUUAGAUCAGUUUCCCCAGAAAUAGACCCUGAGAUGAAGAUUAGUAUGCAAGUGAUUUGUCAAGGGAGUCCUCCCAGGGGAGAAGCAGGACAAAACAUGGAGGUAAAAGUCAAGCAAGAGUGCAGUUUUAGGCCAAGCCCCGCAGAGAUACUUGGCCUAAUGCCUCAGGGGAACACUUGGAACCUGCCCUGACUCCAUUCCAAUUGUCUGGAAGAGUUUGUGUAGAAUUGGUAUUAUUUCUUUGUUAAAUGUUUAGUAGAAUUCACUAGGGAAGCCAACUGGACCUGAAGUGUCCUUUGUGAAAAGAUUUUUAGCUACACAUUCAAUCCCUUUGAUAGCUAUCCAGUUACUUUGAUUCUCUGUUUCUUGAGAUUUUUGGUAAAUGAACCCAAAGAAUGUGUGGCAAUGCCUAGAUUUCAGGUUUGGGGCAACAGGCUGAAAUAGAAGGUUAAGCAGGAUUGGAAUUGUGGGUAAGGAAAGAUAAAGGCUGUGGCCACGUUGCAUUUUAGGAAUCUAUAUGAUAUUCUACUAGAAACACACAAAGAAUGUGUUCAUUUUAUCUAAAUUGUCAAAUGUAUUGCCACAAAGUUAUUCACAAAAUUCCUUUUUAAACUUUUAAAUAUCUUUAAAGUCUGUUGUGAUGUCAUUUGUUUUAUUUCUGACAUUGGUAAUUUGUGUCUUCCCUCUUUUUUUCCUGAUCAUUCUGGCUAGAAGUUUAUCAAUUUCAUUGAUAUUUCUCAAAGAAACAAGUUUUAGUUUCAUUGGUUUUCUCUAUUGUUUUUUAAAUUAUUCUGUUGAAUUUAGCCAGGAUGAUGCCUCACACCUGUAAUCUCAACACUUUGGGAGUCUGAAGCAGGUGGAUCACUUGAGGUCAGGAGUUCAAGACCAGACUGGCCAACAUGGUGAAACCCUGUCUCUACUAAAAUACAAAAAUUAGCCAGGCAUGGUGGCACAUUCCUGUAAUCUCAGCUACUUGAGAGGCUGAAGCACAAGAAUUGCUUGAAUCCAGGAGGCGGAGGUUGCAGUGAGCCAAGAUUAUGCCACUGCACUCCAGCCUGGGCGACAGAGUGAGCAAGAUCCAUCUCUAAAUAAAUAAAAAUAAAUUAUUCUAUUGAAUUUAGAAUUACUUUAUUUUUUUUAAUAUGGAACACUUCACAAAUUUUCAUGUCAUCCUUGUGCAGGGACCGUGCUAAUCUCUGUAUCAUUCCAGUUUUAGUAUAUGUGCUGCUGAAAUGAGCAUGAUUGAAUCCAUGGUGUCUGUUUUGAAUUUUUUAAACUUCCCAUUUAAAAAAUGUAUUGAUUUCUGCUUUGAUAUUUAUUAUUUCCUUUUUAUCUACUUACUUUCAGUUUUACUUACUCUUCUUUUUCUAGUUUCUUAAGUUGGAAACUGAGAUCAUGGAUUUUGGACCUUUUUUUUUUGAAAUGGAGUCUUACUCUGUCGCCCAGGCUGGAGUGCAGUGGCACGAUCUCAUCCACUGCAACCUCCACCUCCCAGGUUUCAAGCAAUUCUGCCUCAGCCUCUCGAGUAGCUGGGAAUACAGUCGCCCGCCACCAUGCCUGGCUAAUUUUUGUAUUUCAGUAGAGACAGGGUUUCGCCAUGUUGGCCAGAAUGGCCUCGAACUCCUGAUCUCAGGUGAUCCACCCACGUCGGCCUCCCAAAGUGCUGGGAUUACAGGCGUAAGCCACCAUGCCUGGUCUCCUUUCUUCUUUUCUAAUAGAGGUUCUUAGUGCUGUGCAUUUCUAAGUACUGCUUUUAGUAGCACCCCACAAACUUCACUGUUUUGGAUUUUUAUUUUUAUUCAGUUCAAAAUACUUUCUAACUUAUAUCUUACUUGAUCCAUAAGUUAUUUAGGAGUAUGUUAUUUAAUUUCCAAAUAUUUGGGAAAUUUCCAGAGAGCUUUCUGUUAACGAUUUCUAAUUUAAUUUCAUUGAGUUUAGAGAAUAUACAUUGUGUGUCUUGAAUAAUUGUAACAAUAAUUUUAAUUGUUUUAUGCCCCCAAAAUGGCCUAUCUUGGUAAUUGUUCCGUGUGCACUUGAAAAGAAUGUGUAUGCUGCUGUUGUGAGUGGAGUGUCCCAUAAAUGUCAGUGAGGUCAAGUUGGUUGACAGUGUUGUUCAUAUUUUCUAUAGUCUCAUGAGUUUCUGUCUAUGUGUUCUGUCAAUUAUUGGGAGAGAUAUUGAAACCUCUGAAUAUAAUUGUAGAUUUGUCUAUUUCUCCAUACAGUUCUCUCAGUUUUUCAAAACCAGUCUUGAAACUGGUUUUAGGUGCAUAAACAUUUAGGACUAUUAUGUUCUCUUGGUGAGUUGACCCUUGUAUCAUUGUAAGAUGACCUUCUUUAUUUUCUCUGCAAUCUAUUUUAUCUGAUAUUAAUAUAGUCACUGUGAAUUUCUUUUAGUAUUGGCAUCAUAUGUCUUUUAACCUAUUUGUUUCUUUAUAUUUAAAGUGUGUUUCUUUUAGGCAGCAUGUAGUUGGGUCUUUUUUUAAAGAAAAUCCAAACUGACAAUCUGUGCCAUUUAAUUAAUUAAAUUACAUUUAAUGUGAUUUUAAAGAUAUGAUUAGGUGUGUCAGCACCUUGCUAUUUGUUUUCUAUUUGUCCUAUCUAUUCUUUGUUUCCUUUUCCACCUGCUUUUGGGUUGACUAUUUUUGUAUUUUUAAAAAAUUCUGCUUUAUUUUCUUAAUUGGCUUUUUGCUAUAACUCUAUUUUUUUUUUUAACAGGGUCUUGCUCUCUUGCCCAGACUGGAGUGCAGCAGCGUGAUCACAUUUCACUGCAGCCUCCAACUCCUGGUCUCAAGCAGUCCUCCCACCUCAGUUUCCCCAGUAGCUGGGAUUACAAGUAUGCUCCACCAUACCUUGCUAAUUUUUAAAUUACUUCAGAGACAGGAUCUAGCUCUGUUGCCCAGGCUGGUCUUGAACUCUUGGCCACCAGUGAUCCUCCUGCCUUGGCUUCCCAAAGUGCUGGGAUUAUAGGAGUGAGCUACCACACCUGGCCUCUAACUCUUAAUUUCAUUAUUUUAGUGGUUGCUGUAUGGUUUAUAGCAUACAUCUUAAAUUUAUCAUAGUCUAUGUAUUCAAGUUCACUAAUCAUUUUUUCUUUAAAAUCUAAUCUGCUAAUCCCUUUCAGUGUAUAAUUCAUCUCACACAUUGUAGCUUUCAUCUCUGGAUGAUCAAUUUAGGUUUUUAAUUUUAUACACCUUCUAAGUGUCUACUUAACUUUUGAACAUACAAAAUAUAGUUGUAACAAUUGUUUUACUGUCCUUGUCUGAUAAUCCUAACACCUAUGUCAGUUCUAGGUUGGCUUCCAUUGAUUUAUUUUUCUCCUCCUUAUAGGUGAUAUUUUUCUACUUCUUUGUAAGCCAGGUAAUCUUUGAUCAGGUGCCAAACAUUGUAAAUUUUACUUUGUUGGGUGCUAGAUUAUUUUGUAUUCCUUUAAUUAUGUUUGAACUUUGUUCUGGGACGCAGUUACUUGGAAAUGGUUUGAUCCUUUUGAGUUUUGUUUUAAGCUGGGCUAUAAAGGAAAUCUCAGCAAAUUUUACAGGAUUGAAAUCUCUGACAAAUUAAACUAGAAAUCAAUAACAAAAAACAACUAGAAGAUUACAAAUAUUUGGAAGUUAAGCAACACACUUGCUAAGAAUGUUCUCAUGGGCCAAAGAAGAAAUCACAGUGGAAAUAAGACAAUGUUUAAAACUAAAUGAUAACAGAGAAAUGGCGUAUCAAAAUUGUGAGUUCAUUGAAAAUGCUUACAAGGAAAAGAAAAAAAAACCUGUGGGGGUAUUUUGAUCAUUGUUCAAUGUAUAUUGGAAAAGAUGGCAUUCUGCAGCUAUUGGGUAUGAUAAUUAUAUGUCAUCUAGAUCAGUUUUGUUAAUCAUGUUAUUCAAAAUCUCCUAUAUCCUAAUGUUGAUUUCUUGUCUACUUAUUCUACCAGUUAUUGAGAGCUAUAUGUUAAAAAAUUUCCAACUAUUAUUAUGGAUUUCUCUUUUUCCUUUUAGACCUGUCAGUUAUUACUUUUAUGUUUUGAGGCUGUUUUUAAUUGCAUAUAUAGUUAGGAUUUUAUAUUUUCCUAUUAAAAUUUCCCUUUCGUUAUUAUGAAAUGUCUCUCAUUAUCUCUAGCAAUACUUUUUUCCUUAUGUUUAUGAUACCAGUACAGAUACACCAGCUUCCUUUUGGUGUUUUCAUGACUUAUUUUUUUUCUUUUUUUAAAAAAAUCGCUUUCUUUUCUUUCUUUCUUUCUUUCUUUCUUUCUUUCUUUCUUUCUUUCUUUCUUUCUUUCUCUUUCUUUUUCUUUCUUUCUUCCUUCCUUCCUUUCCUUUCUUUCCUUCUUUCUCUUUCUCUCUUCCCUUUCCCCUUCCCCUUCCCCUUCCCUUCCCUUCCCCUCCCCUUCCUCUCCCCUCCCCUCCCCUUCCUUCUUUUCUUUCUUUCCAGAGUCUCGCUCUGUUGCCCAGGCUGGAGUGCAGUGGCACAAUCUCAGCUCACUGCAACCUCCACCUCCCGGGUUCAAGUGUUUCUCAUGCCUCAGCCUCCCAAGUAGCUAGGAUAACAGGCGUGUGCCACCACACCCGGCUAAUUUUCGUAUACUUAGUAGAGAUGGGGUUUCACCAUGUUGGCCAGGCUGGUCUUGAACUCUUAACCUCAGGUGAUCCACCCACCUCAGCCUCCCAAAGUGCUAGGAUUACAGGCAUGAGCCACCACACCUGGCCAAAAAUCCCUUUAUUUCCAACCUUUAUGCAUCCUUAUGUUUAAGGUGUGUCUUCUAUAACAGCAUAUAGUUGUUUUUUUUUUCUUGUCCAGUCUGAAAAUCUUUGCCUUUAAUUGAUUUAUAUUAUGGUAAUUACUGAUACUGUAGGGUUUAAAGUAUACCAUUUUGCCAUUUUUUUCCAUUUUUCACAUCUGUUUUUUGUUUCUUUUUACCUCUUUCUUGCCUUCUUUUGGAUCAAUCAAUAUUUUCCUAAUUAUUUCAUUUUCAUCCUCUAUAAAUUAGUAGUCACGUGUUUGCUAUUAUUGUUAUUUUAUUACCCACAUAUUAUAGCAUGCAUCCUUGGCUUAAUUAGGUCACCCUUGAAUUAGUACUUUCACCCUUUUCUAAAUAACUCUAGGGACCUUAUGACACUUUAAUUCAUUUUAGCAUUCUCCUGGCUUUCAUGUUAUUGUUGUCAUGUAUUUUUUUUUUUUUUGAGACAGAGUCUUGCUAUGUUGCCCAGGCUGGCCUUCAACUCCUAGGGACAAUGGAUCUGCCCUCCUCAGCCUCCCGAGUAGCUGAGAUUACAGGAAUGUGCCACCACACCUGGCUACAGCAAGGCUUUUGACAAAAAUGGUUGAAAGAAUUCAAAACUGAGGAUCCUAGUGCUGAGGGUGGGAUAUUUUGUGUUAUUGGUCAGUAAGAAUGUCUCUUACUUGAGAUAUGAAUCCUGAAGGUGGUAAGAGUUGAUUUAUUUAGACAGAGUUAAUUUUAAUUAGUGAAAACUGAAGAACUGACUUGUAUUUUGGUCUGACGUAUGAUUGUUUCAACUUUGCUGCAGUAGCACCUACAAGAGGACCAACAUUCUCCAGGAAAUUCUGUCCUUUAAAACCAUGAGAUGAAUAAUCUUGGUCUGGAAGAUAUUCAUAGAAAGAAGCUUAGAAUGUUUGAUUUUUGAGCAUGAAUUAACUGUACAGUCAUCAAUUAAAUAAGCUGAUCCACUGAGUAAUUGUUGAGAUGAUCCUUCUGGAUGCUGAAUAAUGCUAGCCUAGAAUGGGGAUUUGACAUUGAUAUAUUCUUUCCUAUUAACAAAUCCAGUUUUCUUUCUUCCUCCCAUCCUCCCUCCUUCUUUCUUUCUUCCUUUCUUUUCCUUUCAUUUGCCUUCCUUUCCUUCCUUCCCUUCCCUUUCACAAUAUUUUACUUUAAAAAAAUUAUGAAAUCCAUCAUGUACACUUCAAUGUGUUAAAUAUAUAUGUACAUUUUAAAGAUUAAUAGUCCAGUGAACAUCUGUGUACCCACUACUCAGGGUGAGAAACAAAUAUAACGAUGGUCUCGUGUGUUCCUUGUGGGCUCUUCCCCAAUUCUUCCUUCUCCACAGAGACCACUUCCACCUGCCUUCUGUGGUAGUUAUCUUAUAAUCCUCUUCAUAAUUUCUUUCUUUUUUUUUUUUUUUGAGAUGGAGUCUCGCUCUGUCGCCCAGGCUGGAGUGCAGUGGCAUGAUCUCAGCUCACUGCAAGCUCUGCCUCCUGGGUUCAUGCCAUUCUCCUGCCUCAGCCUCCCGAGUAGCUGGGACUACAGGCACCCGCCACCACGCCUGGCUAAUAUUUGUAUUUUUAGUAGAGACUGGGUUUCACCGCAUUAGCCAGGAUGGUCUCGAUCUCCUGACCUCGUGAUCCGCCCGCCUUGGCCUCCCAAAGUGCUGGGAUUACAGGCGUGAGCCACCGUGCCUGGCCCCUCUUCAUAAUUUCUAACACCUCUGAAUUCUUCUACUGUAUAUAUAUAUAUAUAUAUACACACACACACACACACACACAAUUAUAUAUAUUUAUAUAUACAUUAUAUAUAUACAUUAUAAUGUGUAUAUAUAUAAUGCAUAUAUAUAGUAGAAGAAUUUACUUUCUAUAUAGUAAAUUUUGUGUAUACACACACAUACACAUACAAAACUGGAUCAGUAAGGAAUUUACACUUACUUCUUUAGAUGAAGACCCCCAGGAGAGGGUAAGAUGACAGAGUCUCUGGGUCAGAAGUGACCUCAUUUUCCCUGAAAGUUUACAGGGCAAAGUCACAAGUGAGUCUGUUAUGUUUGGGGUGUUUGUCCUCUUCAAAUCUCAUGUUGAAAUGUAACCGUCACUGUUAGAGGUGAGACCUGGUGGGAGGUGAUUUGAUCAUGGGGGUGGAUCCUUCACAAAUGGCUUAGCACCAUUUCUUGGUGAUGUUCUCUCCCAGUUAGUUCACAUGAGAACUGGUUGUUUAAAAGAAUCUGAGACCUCCCCCUUCUCUCUUUUGCGCCCUCUCUUCACCAUGUGAUGUGCUGGCUCCCCUUCACUUUGUGCCAUGAUUGAAAGCUUCCUGAGGCCUUCACAAGAAGCUGAUGCUGGCACCAUGCUUCCUGUACAGCCUGCAGAAACGUGAGCCAAAUCAAAGCCUGUUUUCUUUAUAAAUUACCUAGUCUCAGGUAUUUCUUUAUAGCAGCACAAGAAUGGACUAACACAGAGUCUGUGGGAAAUAGGACUCAAAAAAUUGGUGGCAGGGUGAAGUGUCACCCAAAUACUGGCCAUCAGGCAGGAAUAUGGUCAGGGGGAGUAGGCUGCUCUUAUUUUCUCACUCAAAGUUCCCACAGCCUACUUUCAGCUCUCGGGAAUGGGUGAGAACAAAACAUUUUUGUGGGAGUGAAAUAAAUAUCUUUAGAUAAUCCACGUAGGAGGGUAAGGAGGGAAUAACAGGAACUUCAUCAACACAUGAUAUAUUAAUCCAUUUUAACUAUAAAGAACUACCUGAGACUGAGUAAUUUAUGAAGAAAAGAGGUUUAAUUUCCUCACAUUUCCACAGGCUUAACAGGAAGCAUGGCUGGUAACUUACAAUUGUGGUGGAGGGGUUAGGGGAAUCAAGCAUGUCUUACCGUGGUGGAGCAGGAAAGAGCGAGAGUGAAGAGGGAAGUGCCACACACUUUUGAACAACCAGAUCUUGUGAGAACUCACUCUCACAAGAAUAGCAAGCGGGAACUCCACCCCAAUGAUUCAAUCACCUGCCACCAGGCCCCUCCCCCCACAUGUGGGGAUUACAAUUCGAAAUGAGAUUUGGGUGAGGACAGAGCCAAACCAUAUCAUUCCACCCCUGGCCCCUCCAAAAUCUCAUGUCAUCACAUUUCAAAGCCAAGCAUGCCUUCCCAACAGUCCCCCAAAGUCUUAACUCAUUCCAGCAUUAACUCAAAAGUCUAAGUCCAAAGUCUCAUCUGAGACAAGGCAAGCCCCUUCCGCCUAUGAGCCUGUAAAAUAAAAAACAAGUUAGUAACUUCCAAGAUACAAUGGAAAUACAGGAAUUAGGUAAAUGCUCCCAUUGCAAAGGGGGAAAUUGGCCAAAACCAAGGGACUACAGGUCCUAUGCAAGAUCAAAACCUGGCAAGGAAGUCAUUAAAUCUUUUUUUUUUUUUUUUUUUUUGGAGACAGAGUCUUGCUCUGUCACCCAGGGUGGAGUGCAGUGGUGCUAUCUUGGCUCACUGCAACCUCCACCUUCUGGGUUCAAGCAAUUCUCCUGCCUUAGCCUCCCGAGUAGCUGGGACUACAGGCACAUGCUGACAUGCCCAGCUAAUUUUUUGUAUUUUAUUAGAGACAGGGUUUCACCGUGUUACCCAGGCUGUUCUUGAACUCCUGAACUCAGGCAAUCCACCCAUCUCGGCCUCCCAAAGUACUAGGAUUACAGGCGUGAGCCACUGUCCCUGGCUGGAAGUCAUUAAAUCUUAAACCUCCAAAAUAAUCUCCUUUGACUCCAUGUCUCACAUCCAGGGCAUGCUGAUGCAAGAGGUGGGCUCCCAAGGCCUUGGGAAGUUUUGCCUCUGUGGCUCUGCAGGGUACAGCCCCCAUAGCUGCUUUCAUGGGCUGGCAUUGAGUGCCUGUGGCUUUUCUGGGCACAUGGUGCAAGCUGUCAGUGGAUGUACCAUUCUGGGGUUUGGAGGACGGUGGCCCUCUUCUCAUGGUUCCACUAGGCAGUGCCCUGGUGGGGACUCUGUGUCAGGGCUCCAAUCCCACACUUCCCCGCUGCACUGCCCAUGAGGGCUCUGCCCCUGCAGCUGACUUCUGCCUGGACAUCCAGGCAUUUCCAUACAUCCUCUGAAAUCUAGGUGGAGAUUCCAAAACCUCAACUCUUGCCAUCUGCACACCUGCAGGCCCAACAUCACAUGGAAGCUGCCAAAGACUUGGGGCUUGCAAUCUCUGAAGCAAUGGCCCGAGCUGUACCUUGGCCCCUUUUAGCCAUGGCUAGAGCUGGAGUGGCUGGGAUCCAGGGCAUCACGUCCCAAGGCUGCACAGAGCUGCUGGGGCCUGGGCCUGGGCCAUGAAACCAUUUUUUCCUUCUAGGUCUCUGGGCUUGUGAUGGGAGGGGCUGCCUCAGUGGUCUCUGAAAUGCCCAGGAGACAUUUUCCCCAUUGUCUUGGCUAUUUAACUCUUCUUUACUUAUGCAAACUUCUGCAGCAGGCUUGAAUUUCUCCCCAGAAAAUGGAUUUUUCUUUUCUACCACAUGGCCAGGCUGCAAAUUUUCUAAACUUAUAUGCUGUACUUCCCUUUUAAAUGUAAGUUCCAGUUUCAGAUCAUCUCUUUGUUCAUGCAUAUGAGCAUACACUUUUAGAAACAGCCAGUUUACCUCCUGAAUGCUUUGCUGCUUAGAAAUUUCUUCCAGCAGAUACCCUAAAUCAUCUCUCUCAAGUUCAAAGUUCCACAGAUCUCUAGGGCAGGGGAAAAAAUGCUACCAGUAUCUUUGCUAAAGCAUAGCAAGAGUGACCUUUACUCUAGUUCUCAAUAAGUUCCUCAUCUCCAUCUGAGACCACUUGAGUCUGGACUUCAUUGUCCAUAUCACUAUCAGCAUUCUCAUCAAAACAAUUCAACAAAUCUUCAUGAAGUUCCAAACUUUCCCACGUCUUCCUGUCUUCUUCUGAGCUUUCCGAACUGUUCCAACCUCUGCCUGUUACCCAGUUCCAAAGUUGCUUCCACAUUUUCAGAUAUCUUUAUAGCUGUUAUAAAUAAUUUUCUGUAUAGUCCAUUUUCACACUGCUAUAAAGAGCUGCCUGAGACUGAGUAAUUUGUGAAGAAAAGAGGUUUAAUUCACUCACAGUUCUGCAGGCUUAACAGGAAGCAUGGCUGGAAAGCCUCAGGAAACUUACAAUCAUGGCAGAACUUAAAGGGGAAGCAAGCGUGUCUUACCAUGGCAGAGCAGGAGAGAGAAAGAGUGAAGGGGAAGUGCCACACACUUUCAAACAACCAGAUCGCAUGAGAAUUCACUCACAGUCAAGAACAGCAAUGGGGAAGUCCAUGCCCAUGAUUCAAUCACCUCUCACCAGACCCCUCCCCUGACAUGUGGGGAUUAAAAUUCAAGAUGAGAUUUGGGUGGGGAUGCAGAGCCAAACCAUAUCACAUGGUCAACACAAGCUUCUUGGUGAUGCCCCAAACUUCAGAACCAGUUAAAGGUUUACCAUCAGCCAGAAGAGCUGUGGGAAUGAGCCUCCCAGAAAGAAGAGAUGGAAGGUGUUUGGCAUCUGCAGUGAUGAUGAUGAUGAUGAUCAUGAUCAUGAUCAUGAUGCUGGCUAAAUGCCGACUCUGAGCCCUGCAUGAUGGCACCACAAAACUGCGCCCCUGCCUGAUUUCAUUUCAGCAAGCUUUACUGUGAAGUGUUUAUGUGCCAGGUACCAUGUGUAGAAGCGCUGGCCCAGAGAUGAAGAUGAAGUUUCUAUCCUUAAGGCAUGCAAUGUGGGAGAUGAACAGGAUCUUGCUCUUUGGCCCAGCCUGGAGUGCAGUGGUGGGAUAACAGAUCACUCCAG
rnacentral:lncRNA from 1 species